rnacentral:rRNA from 1 species
UACAGAGGUCUCAAGCGUUGUUCGGAUUCAUUGGGCGUAAAGGGUGCGUAGGUGGCGAGGUUAGUCAGGUGUGAAAUCUCGGGGCUUAACCCGAAACUGCACUUGAUACUGCCUUGCUAGAGUACUGGAGAGGAGAUUGGAAUUACGGUGUAGCAGUGAAAUGCGUAGAUAUCGUAAGGAAGACCAGUGGCGAAGGCGAAUCUCUGGACAGUUACUGACACUGAGGCACGAAGGCCAGGGGAGCAAACGGG